rnacentral:misc_RNA from 1 species
UCCAGUUCACACUGGCAGUAUCUUCAGAGUGCCCAACAUUACUUGCUGGCAACAGAAGAGGAGGGUUGCGCUCGUUGCGGGACUUAACCCAACAUCUCACGACACGAGCUGACGACAGCCAUGCAUCACCUGUGUAAGUCCGGCCGAACCGAGCCUUUCCAUUACGAAAGGCGUGACUUACAUGUCAAGGGCUGGUAAGGUUUUUCGCGGAUUAUCGAAUUAAACCACAUGCUCCACCGCUUGUGCGGGCCCCCGUCAAUUCCUUUAAGUUUUAGUCUUGCGACCGUAGUACUCAGGCGGAGCGCUUAACGCGUUAGCUGCGACACGGAUACAAAAUACCCACAUCUAGCGCUCAUCGUUUAGGGCGUGGACUAC